UACGGAGGGGGCUAGCGUUGUUCGGAAUUACUGGGCGUAAAGCGCGCGUAGGCGGACCUGCAAGUCGGGGGUGAAAGCCCGAGGCUCAACCUCGGAACUGCCUUCAAUACUGCGGGUCUCGAGUCCGGGAGAGGUGAGUGGAAUUCCUAGUGUAGAGGUGAAAUUCGUAGAUAUUAGGAAGAACACCAGUGGCGAAGGCGGCUCACUGGCCCGGUACUGACGCUGAGGCGCGAAAGCGUGGGGAGCAAACAGG
rnacentral:rRNA from 1 species